rnacentral:lncRNA from 1 species
GGGGGACAAUAAACACACCAUAAACAGACCAUAAACAACUAAAACAACUUUAUAUGGGGACCAUAAACACAACAUAAACAAAUAAUUUCACACAACAUAAUGGAGGACCACAACGAAAAUAACACACCACAAAGAAAGAAACAACAAAUAUAAUGGGGGAUAAUAAAGAAACAAACCAAAUAAAAAUCAAACUUUUUGGGGGGGACCGCAACGAAAGCAACCAUACACAGAACAAAAGGUAUCAUAUAUGCACCUUCGAAUGGAACAAACUUCACUUUUCGAAAUACCCCACCAACACCAACACUGCCAAAUGCGCUUCCAAAUCCCCAAAUGCAGUUCUGCGAACAAAACACUCAAUUGCGUGUGAUUAUGUGUUCAUAAUGUAGAUGAAGAAAUGUGUACGAUCAUGAACUCAACAAUGCUCUAUCACAAAUGUCCUAAUUUCCUCUCCUUCAGAAAACCCCUAAUUUUAUUAAUGUUUAAUUUUUCCUAAUUCUAUUAUGCCAUUAUUUACUUUCCACUUUAACCUCUAAUUCACUCACACGUCACAACCUAUAUUCCCAC